CUCAAGAAACCCAAGCGUUUUGAUUGUCCCCAAUUCAAGCCAAUCUAAUUGAUAAUCAUUGAAAUUGAUGGCACUAUCAUUCUCAGUAGCUAAAUGUGAUGGAAGAUGUUCUUAAACAACACAGUAAUCAACAACUUGAUUUGGAUUCCCCGUAGAGCAGAGGAAGCUGGUAUGUGCGAGCGGCGGCUAGGGUUUUGCCAUAUUUUAGGUGGAAUGGGGUCAGAGCAGGAUCUCCAUCCCGAUUGGGGUCAAACCGAUCGAAUUCUGGCUCUGCUAUGCUAACUCUAUUGGCUACAUGCGAUGUUAUUGGAUCGACAGGUAUUAUUUUAUUGUGUUUUCUCGCAGAGUGCUUCAGGAGGAGGAGUGCUGGAUUGACUUAACUCAAAUACAAGGAAGAUGAGCAAGAAGAACCCACUUGUAUACUUGGACGUGUCUAUAGAUGGAGAUCCUAUUGAAAGAAUGGUUUUUGAGCUCUUCUCAGGUACUGUUCCUAAAACUGCUGAGAAUUUUCGGGCACUUUGUACUGGAGAAAAGGGGAAUGGUCAGAAAACUGGAAGACCCUGCACUACAAGGGAUCCUCUUUCCAUCACAUAAUUAAAGGAUCUUUGGCUCAGGCAUAUGUCUAUUGGUGUUAUGUCAAACGGCUUGCGAAGUAGACAGCAACCAAGACUUGGAAUCCCAGAAAGAAGUGUCAUUCGUAAGGCUGGAAGCAUAUAUCUUCAUAAACAUGGAGAAGUUGACGGGUCAAAAGUACGCGUGCAGGUCGAUAUUGAAGAAAAAACUUGUGACGCAACCAACUCCUGGGGAUUAUGUAAUGCUUGCUUAUCACCAUUGAUGUGGGGAUUAACAACCAAAAACUAUUGCUUGAUGAGUUUUAUAUUGGUCUCAAACACAAGAAUGCCACUCGAAAGGAAUAUUAUGACUUACUUGAAGAGUUAUGUCUGCAGUCAAGCAAAGCUAUGGUCAAAAAGUGUUUGUGCAGUGUCUCUUAAAACUUAGAUUUACCCAAUAGCUCAUAAAUGUACCUAUCAGCCAAAUAUAAAACCACUCAGUUGGCG